UAUAUAUAUAUAUAGUUGAGCUAGAAUACUAUCGGUAGCAAACGGGCUCUGUUGCCACCCAUUUGUUUUCGAUGAUGGAGCCUUCAAAUCGACGAUCGGCACCGUUGAACGUGAUCUAUACCACUUGAAGCAUCUAGAAAUCAAAUUUCAAAUCUUUUUGACAUUAUUAACCUAAUGAUCAAAGGGUUUCAAAAUUUAUAAUUUUAACGGUCGAUAUGAGGCAUUUUCUCGUUUAACGGUGUAAAGAUAUCCAAAUCAAUUGAAUUUUGGUUAGAAAAUUCUUUAAACUAUUUAGAACAAGAUCUAUACUCUCGAUCUUGAUUAUAAGAUCUCUAUCAUCACUUUUUAAAAAAUAUUUAUUUUCCGUCGUUCAUUUUGUGUUCACUUGAUGGAGAAGAGAACAAUAUCAGAAAAGUAUAAAAUUUGAUUGCUAGAUGCUUCAAGUAGUAUAGAUCAUAUUCAACGGUGCCGAUCUUCGAUUUGGAGGCUUCAUCAUCGAAAACAAAUGGGUGGCAACGGAGCUCGUUUGCUAUCGAUAGUAUUCUAGCUCAACUCUCUCUCUCUCUCUCUCUCUCUAUAUAU
rnacentral:lncRNA from 1 species